rnacentral:rRNA from 1 species
UACAGAGGUCUCAAGCGUUGUUCGGAUUCAUUGGGCGUAAAGGGUGCGUAGGCGGCGAGGCAAGUCUGGUGUGAAAUCCCGGGGCUCAACCCCGGAACUGCACUGGAUACUGCUUUGCUAGAGUACUGGAGAGGGAACUGGAAUUUACGGUGUAGCAGUGAAAUGCGUAGAGAUCGUAAGGAAGACCAGUGGCGAAGGCGGGUCUCUGGACAGUUCCUGACACUGAGGCACGAAGGCCAGGGGAGCAAACGGG